rnacentral:rRNA from 1 species
GAUGAACGCUGACAGAAUGCUUAACACAUGCAAGUCUUUGGCGAAGCUGUGCUUGCACCGCCUAGCCAAGGCGGACGGGUGAGUAACGCGUAAGGAACUUGCCCUGCAGUCAGGGAUAACAGACGGAAACGACUGAUAAGACCUGGUAAAGUCAGGCGGACUCAUGUCCAGCCUGAUGAAAAGAGAUGCUGCAGGAGAGCCUUGCGUCCUAUUAGCUUGUUGGUGGGGUAACGGCCCACCAAGGCGAUGAUAGGUAGCCGGCCUGAGAGGGUGGACGGCCACAAGGGGACUGAGAUACGGCCCUUACUCCUACGGGAGGCAGCAGUGGGGAAUAUUGGACAAUGGGGGCAACCCUGAUCCAGCAAUUCUGUGUGCACGACGAAGGUUUUCGGAUUGUAAAGUGCUUUCAGCAGGGAAGAAAAAAAUGACGGUACCUGCAGAAGAAGCGACGGCUAAAUACGUG